rnacentral:rRNA from 1 species
CGGCGGACGGGUGAGUAACACGUGGGUAACCUACCUAUAAGACUGGGACAACUUCGGGAAACCGGAGCUAAUACCGGAUAAGAUAUCGAACCGCAUGGUUCGAUAGUGAAAGANGGUUUUGCUAUCACUUAUAGAUGGACCCGCGCCGUAUUAGCUAGUUGGUGAGGUAACGGCUCACCAAGGCAACGAUACGUAGCCGACCUGAGAGGGUGAUCGGCCACACUGGAAUUGAGACACGGUCCAGACUCCUACGGGAGGCAGCAGUC